rnacentral:lncRNA from 1 species
AUUAUAAAACUGUGGAUAGCUGCCCUAGUAGAGUAUUGUAGACUUCUUUCAGAUCAAAGUCUUGCUUAAUUUGAGGAUCAAUUCAUAACUUAGCUGCCAAAACUUAUCCCCAACUAACAGGAGCAAAUGAGAUACUAGAGUGGAUUGCUAUUCUCCAACUCGUUUUACAGAUAAGGAAACUGAGGCAAACAAGGUUAAGUGACUUGCCCAGGGUCACACAGUCAAUGCUGAGGCCAGAUUUGGACUCCAUCCCCUUUGCCAUGAGGUGCCCUUUCAUUACUCUUUAUGAUGAUGUAUAAUACCUGUAUGUACACCAAGACAUAACAGAUCUGGGUUACUGUAUGUAUUAGCUUUCAGAGUAAGGAUUCUGUCCAUUAACAGCAAAUCAAAAUUUGUGUUUUUAAAAGUUGCCUGAAACUCAGAGAAAUGACUUGUCUAUGGUAUGUGUCAGUGGGGAGAUAGAAAUGAAAUUCUUCCAAAUUCUAAGACUAGCAUUCUAGCUAGUACAUGAUACUGCUUUUACAUGGCAUCUGAAUGUUAUAUUUACUGUACCCCAAUACUAAAAUGGAUCUGUGACUUUAUUAAUUUGGAAGUUUAAUCCAACAAGGAAUAUCAUAACUGCAUUCCACGAGUGCCUAUCUUGUACAUCCCAUCUGGGUCUCCCCAUAAUUUCUCCACAGAGGUUUUCCCUAACUUGUGGGAAGCUUCCCUUUACUUCUAAAGUUGAAAGAAGAGCCCUGAUGGAAUGUUCUCAUAUUGUCCCUUGUUCUCAUCAUGUGAUCAGAUGAAUUUCUCUUUCUAUUACAGAAUUCCCUGAUGGUAUCUUUUACUCCUCUGUGUCUUUGAAUUUUGUAAUUGGUGAAAUGAUGCCAUUUAAAGCCAGCUCACAUUACGUUAAAUAUUCUGUCAACAGGAAUUUCUUGAAUAUCUUAUCUCCAUGAACUCAAAUCUCUAAAAUAGUCUUUUUAAAAUAUUUCACUGGAUGCUUUCAUGCCAGAAGGAACCAAGACCAUUACAAUAUUAAGAAAGACAGGAGUUCCACUGCAAGGAGGGCUGAGGCUUAAUAACCAGGGAACUGAAGAAGAGAGGAAGGAAGAAGAGGGCAGCAGUGAUACCAAUCUGAAAGAAGAGCAGUCACAGGGACGAACUUGUGAAGAGGGGUCAGCAUGCUGGUCUUUAUCCUACCAACUGCCAGGAACCAAGGUUGAUAGCGGUGGCUAGCUCUGGCAUGAUCUUCAAAGGAAAUGAGGGACCAAGAAGAAGGGAAAGGUUUUUCUUGGUCAAAGAACAUCACCUCUCUGGGGAACAAGCAGACAAGGACCAAA